rnacentral:rRNA from 1 species
AUUGAACGCUGGCGGCAGGCCUAACACAUGCAAGUCGAACGGUAGCACAGAGAGCUUGCUCUCGGGUGACGAGUGGCGGACGGGUGAGUAAUGUCUGGGAAACUGCCUGAUGGAGGGGGAUAACUACUGGAAACGGUAGCUAAUACCGCAUAACGUCGCAAGACCAAAGAGGGGACCUUCGGGCCUCUUGCCAUCAGAUGUGCCCAGAUGGGAUUAGCUAGUAGGUGGGUAACGGCUCACCUAGGCGACGAUCCCUAGCUGGUCUGAGAGGAUGACCAGCCACACUGGAACUGAGACACGGUCCAGACUCCUACGGGGAGG